AACAAUCCAGCAAGGUUUUGUGAAAACAUAUUUUAAUGAAACCAAAUUACGCAGUGUCCGUGGAUUGCAUGUUUACUUUUGUGUGGGCCUAUUUUCUUUAUAUCACCUUAUUAUGGAUGGCAUGGUUGUGUGUCUCCAUCUAUCACGAGGUUUGGCUAGAGGGCUGUGUCAGAGGUCACGGCGGUAUGGUUUUCAUGAUUUCACACAAAACGUCUAAACUGCCUUAUAUGCUAUUUAGACAGGGCUUAGUCGGUGUUAAAAUUGUGCGCGUUCACUCCGUUAAGAACAAUGCGGACAUUGUGAGGGCAUGUAUUGGGUGUAGCGAAACACAGCAUCUAGACUACAGCUAAUCUGUUCGCGGCAAAGCUGACAUAAUUAUCCUAAGCUGCCUUUCUACAAAAUCAUUGAGGAAUUCAAAACUUUUCCUUUUUUUAUUUUUUUUUAGAUUUUUACAUUCCAGACCAUCCGUUUGGGUCUUUGUCCUUCUCGGUGGCAAGGCGAGACCCUUAACAUUUGUCAUUUGUUUGUGUCAGUGGUUAUCGUUGAUUGCCCGGGAAAUGUGUAUGUCCUGUUUAUCAAAGAUAGUAAUUAUGUUAAUUUGCAGAUUUGUGCGUUUGUGUUUUUGUGCCUGUGUGCGUGCUAGCGUGUGUGGAUGCGUGUGUAUAUGACAUGGAGAGAAAGGAGGGUGGAGGUUGAUCUAGCUGGAAUCGCUGGGGCAGGUUGUGUCUCCAGGAUCAAACCUGUUUGCUCUCCUGUCAUACGAAACUCUGCUGAAGUAAUUCCAAGUGGCACUUGAAUCGGUCUUGUUGGAAAGCUUGUUGGACUGAAAAUAACCCGCGGUAUUUCAAGGCUGGCCGUGGUCCUGGUGUAAAAAAAAUCUCUCUCUCUCUUCCUCACUCGCUCUCUCUCUCUCUCUGCCAAUAUUGUGAAGAGGAGCUGGACUAGUAUGUAAAUACUUCAGGGCCCGAACCGCCAGGUGUGCUCUACGUUUAUUAUGGCACUGAGUUGAGGGGUUUACAUGCAGAAUAGAUUAUGGUCCAUUAUGGACGAAGCCUUGGAGGCAGCUCGGAAAUUAGCUGUUUGGGUGAAGUGUAAAGUCUGAAUUGGUUUGCAAAGCCACUGGUCAUUCACAUUCUUUACCAUAGCUUUUGUUUGCGUUAAGCGUGUAAUUAACACCACCAAACAAGUUUAUUCACCUGCCCUAAUUGUCUGUUUAUCCGGGAGCUGUUAAUUCUCUUCGCUUAGCGAUAACCAGCGGGAGACAGCCUACUCAAUGCCGACGAACUAUUAGCUCCGUCUUUGUUUACUUACUGCGAAGCCGCCGACAUUAUAAUGUCGACCAUGGUUUAGGCUGAUGCUCGACUGACAUCAUAGCAAAUACCCGUUGUCAGUGACGUUUCACGCGCUCCAGUGAUUUUUGGAGGCGCUUUCGAAACAUACACCUUGCCACUUUGCUGCAACGGCUUUUAUCAUAUCCCCGGCUUAAUCUGUAUUUAAAGUAAAAUAAACAAAAGUGUUGCGUCACAGCGCAAGAGGGAGGCUAAAUGGACAGUGGCUGGUGGAAAAGGACUCUUCACCUUCAAGUAACAAUGAAACCCCGUGACCCUGAAUAUCUGCCCGACCCUGCUUUUGUCCCGUCCGAAGGUGGAUAUGCUUCCCAAAUCCUCACCGGCUUUGAACCGUACCCACAUUUCUCUACACCAAGACAUGGCUUUAAACGCAGAACAUCUCUUCGUAGAAAAUUCGCCGCUCACCUUUUUGAGUCCUCUGGCGAGCAUUUCAGAAAGAAACAGUGAGUAGUUUGUUAAAACAUUUAGAAUUGUGUUAAGCCAUGACGAGAUAAACAUGCUCAGUUAUGAUCAUCUUACUGCAUUAUUAAAGGCUAAAGGUAAAUACGAUCACAAUUAUAGCAACUUACAGUUGCCUAUGUGUUCAUGCAGUGGCAGGUUAUUCGCAGCAGUAUUGUAAUUCUGUCUAUCUAAAUGUGGAUAAUUAUUCUAAACAAACCUCUGCAGUUUUCUUUCUGUAAUGUGACAAGCUUGAGAUAAAACUAUCAACAGAAUUCAGUUUCACAUUGUUAAGUAGCAUAAUUAAGAGCAUUUCCUGUGGGAAAAAAAAUGUUGAUUUACAAAAAAGAUCUCUUCCUGAGACGUCCAAACUAUUCGCAAGUAAAGAUUUUUUCCUGAA